UUCAAGUCUUUAAGAGCAAACGGUGGAUGCCUUGGCAUCUGGAGCCGAAGAAGGACGUAGCAAUCUGCGAUAAGCCUCGGGGAACUGAUAAGCAAGUUUUGAUCCGAGGGUGUCCGAAUGGGGAAACCCCGCUGGGCGGCGUGCCGACCUAGUGACUCCCGCCUGAAUAUAUAGGGCGGGUAGAGGGAACGUGGGGAAGUGAAACAUCUCAGUACCCACAGGAAGAGAAAGCAACCGCGAUUCCGUUAGUAGUGGCGAGCGAAACCGGAUCAGGCUAAACCGAGUGUGUGUGAUAUCCGGCAGGAGUUGCAUAUUCGGGGUUGUGGGACUCACCAGUCAGUUCUGCCGAGCUGGCGACGUGACAGAAGCGUAUAGACGAACGGUCUUGAAAGGCCGGUCAUAGAGGGUGCCAACCCCGUAGUCGAAAUGCGUGUUCUGGCGUGGAGAGUAUCCCAAGUAGCACGGGGCCCGUGAAAUCCCGUGUGAAUCUGUCAGGACCACCUGAUAAGCCUAAAUACUCCCAGAUGACCGAUAGCGGACAAGUACCGUGAGGGAAAGGUGAAAAGUACCCCGGGAGGGGAGUGAAAUAGUACCUGAAACCGUUUGCUUACAAACCGUUGGAGCACCCCUGGUAGGUGUGACAGCGUGCCUUUUGAAGAAUGAGCCUGCGAGUUAGCGAUAUGUGGCGAGGUUAACCCGUGUGGGGUAGCCGUAGCGAAAGCGAGUCUGAAUAGGGCGAUUCAGUCGCAUGUCCUAGACCCGAAGCGAAGUGAUCUAUCCAUGGCCAGGUUGAAGCGACGGUAAGACGUCGUGGAGGACCGAACCCACUUAGGUUGAAAACUGAGGGGAUGAGCUGUGGAUAGGGGUGAAAGGCCAAUCAAACUUCGUGAUAGCUGGUUCUCUCCGAAAUGCAUUUAGGUGCAGCGUUGCGUGUUUCUUGCCGGAGGUAGAGCUACUGGAUGGCCGAUGGGCCCUACAAGGUUACUGACGUCAGCCAAACUCCGAAUGCCGGUAAGUGAGAGCGCAGCAGUGAGACUGUGGGGGAUAAGCUUCAUAGUCGAGAGGGAAACAACCCAGACCACCAACUAAGGUCCCAAAGCGCGUGCUAAGUGGGAAAGGAUGUGGAGUUGCUCUGACAACCAGGAGGUUGGCUUAGAAGCAGCCACCCUUGAAAGAGUGCGUAAUAGCUCACUGGUCAAGUGAUUCCGCGCCGACAAUGUAACGGGGCUCAAGCACGCCACCGAAGUUGUGGCAUUGACAUUAUUGGUAGGCCUUCGUGGUCCAGCCGUGUUGAUGGGUAGGAGAGCGUCGUGUGGCCAGCGAAGCGGCGGUGGAAACCAGCCGUGGAGGCUACACGAGUGAGAAUGCAGGCAUGAGUAGCGAAUGACGUGUGAGAAACACGUCCUCCGAAAGACCAAGGGUUCCAGGGUCAAGCUAAUCUUCCCUGGGUAAGUCGGGACCUAAGGCGAGGCCGACAGGCGUAGUCGAUGGACAACGGGUUGAUAUUCCCGUACCGGCGAAGAACCGCCCAAGCUAAUCCAGUGGUGCUAAACGUCCGAGCCUUCACAUCGUUGCCUUCGGGUGACACCGUGGAGGGGAGCACGUGACCCCAUGCUGGUGCGGUUAGCGUAUUAACAGGUGUGACGCAGGAAGGUAGUCCAAGCCAGGCGAUGGUUGUCCUGGUGCAAGUGCGUAGGCCGAGUCGUAGGCAAAUCCGCGACUCAUACAGGCUGAGACACGAUGCGGAUAAAAAGUGGAUGAUCCUAUGCUGCCGAGAAAAGCAUCGACGCGAGGUUCUAGCCGCCCGUACCCCAAACCGACUCAGGUGGUCAGGUAGAGAAUACCAAGGAGAUCGAGAGAAUCGUGGUUAAGGAACUCGGCAAAAUGCCCCCGUAACUUCGGGAGAAGGGGGGCCUUCGACGUAUUAGGACUUGCUCCGAAAGCGUUUGGAGGCCGCAGAGACUAGUGGGUAGCGACUGUUUACUAAAAACACAGGUCCGUGCCAAGUCGCAAGACGAUGUAUACGGACUGACGCCUGCCCGGUGCUGGAAGGUUAAGAGGACCGGUUAGCCGCAAGGCGAAGC
rnacentral:rRNA from 1 species